UAACAGAGAGAACAAAUGUGCUGAUCUUGUGUUGUCAGAGGUCUUUCUGCUGUUACAAUGGGGAUCGCAAUAGUGGCAUAUCUUUGUGCUUUGCUUUGUACUAAAAUUAAGGCUGAAAUGGACAUUUAGACCAGAUUGAAGACACUAGAAUCGGCGAUGCUGAAAGAUAACAUGCGUACCAUUAGACUUGAGGAAAUGAUGUUUCAUCAACAGGAAAUGUUAAAAGACCAAACUUUAACUAUUGAGACCCAGCAAAAUCAACUUGAUAUUUUGAAUGACAGAUUCAACGAACAAGCGAAUAUUAUAAGGCACUAAAACGAAAUAUUGAGCGCACAGUGGGCCACAAUACAAUUCUUAAAGAACGAUAUCAUAACAUCCAUGCCAUGUAAAGCUACUGAUCAAAGUAAGCCUACACGCGAAAACCUUUUCAAACGGUAUCUCAACCAGGCAACGGUUGUGGUUCUGCAAACAAAGACCAGAAGGACAACCAAGACCAAAAUCCAAAUGUAUCGACAGGUAACAACGCUUUUCGUGCGCGGAUUGUCCGUGCUGCGGUGACAAUGGUAGCAUUUACAGCCAUAAAGGAGACCACCCAAAACAACAUUGGCGUCAAUCAAAACAUCAUCUUCGAACACGUUAUCCUUAAUGAAGGUGGGGCCUACCAUGCACAGCACGGGAUAUUCGUAGCACCUGUAAGUGGCUACUACCUGUUCGCAACGUCCUUGCUGCACCCCCAGAUAAACCAACCAUUACGUGGUGGCCUGAUGCACAAUGGCAAUUUGGUUGCAAUCGCGUACGCUACUGAAAACAUUUGGGCACAGGGAAGUCAAACAGUCGUCCUGAAAAUAACAACCGGAGAUGAGGUUUGGAUAAAAAACCUGGAUUUCGAGCACGAAGUUGUAAAUGGCGAUGCAUAUUCAUCGUUUUCCGGUGUAAUUUUGUUAAAACUUUAAUAUUAUACAAGUCGAACUGUGGCGACGAUUGAAUAAAUACAUAUGGUAAACACUGCAAUAAUGUUUUAUCGAACGCAAAGCCGUUAAGCUAUAAUGAAGGAUGUUCUAAACCAUGACGUGUACUUGAUGAGAAAAAAAACCCUUCUCAAACCCAUUAAACUAAUAAAUCAAAAUAUUAUAUAUUGCAAAAUUUCAAAGCCGCAUGGUUUAAAGCCGAAGUAUAUUUGUAUUUAAUAAAUAAAGUGGUAAUUAACUACUAAAACGUCUUUGUUUUAUAUGAGUUGUUUUUUUCCAGAUUGUUGUCGGAAAUGAUUUUGAAAUUUUAUUAUAUAAAUGGUCUCCUCAGUUAGGCAAGCCUAGUCUUAAUUUAACAUAGAUUUGUCUUCUUUUGAAAAUUUGAAUUAAAAUGGUAUUUCGUGUUAAUUAAAAAAAGUAUCAUUUGCCAAAUUAAAGACCACCACAGAAACACAGAAACUACUGUUGAAAGGAUAAACAAUGAGUUGGUGGAAUAUAAGAUUAACUCAACUUAACUCAACUCAAACAACUUAAUUUAGGUAAAUACAGGUCACUGGCCAACAAAUACAAACUAUAAACAAGCUUAGACAUUCACAUAGUUGCUUUGUAUAUUAAGAAGAAUAUUUAGACUUACUUCGCAGACGUCUGCGCUUAUUUUUCGUAAGAUUACGAGUGUCUGCACACCCGCUGAGGAUCCGAACUGGCAGAUACGCUCAGAAUAACACACCACGAAAUGAACGUUAUUGUUUAUGUUGUAAUGAAUUUGAUAUAGAAGAUAAAUACCAUUUCAUAUGUAUAGGCCACUGUUUCAUCGAUUUAAGACAAAGAUAUAUUAGCCGUAUAUUUUAUAUCAACCCAUCUGUGUAUAAUUUCCACAAUUUGUUAGUUUCAUGUAACAAAACAGUAAUUUCCAAUUUAUGUAAAUAUAUCAAAGAAGCUUUUGUUAUAAGAAAUACGAUUCUUAAUAAUACUGUUUAAUAAAUUGCAUGACCACUUUGUCAGAACCUAUGUGUCCCUGCAAUUGAUUGUGUUAAUUUGUAUUUGUUGUAUACCUAUUCACGUUACAGAUUUAAAUGUGUAUAAGUAAUUAUGAAGACGAUGUACUUUGUGUAAGUCUGAAUAAAUUGUCUGUCUGUC